UACGUAGGGUGCGAGCGUUAAUCGGAAUUACUGGGCGUAAAGCGUGCGCAGGCGGUUUUGUAAGCCAGAUGUGAAAUCCCCGGGCUUAACCUGGGAAUGGCAUUUGGGACUGUAAGGCUGGAGUGCGGCAGAGGAGACUGGAAUUCCUGGUGUAGCAGUGAAAUGCGUAGAUAUCAGGAGGAACACCAAUUGCGAAGGCAGUCUCGCUGGGACGUUACUGACGCUGAGACGCGAAAGCGUGGGGAGCAAACAGG
rnacentral:rRNA from 1 species